GACGAACGCUGGCGGCGUGCUUAACACAUGCAAGUCGAACGGAAAGGCCCUGCUUUUGUGGGGUGCUCGAGUGGCGAACGGGUGAGUAACACGUGAGUAACCUGCCCUUGAUUUUGGGAUAACUUCAGGAAACUGGGGCUAAUACCGGAUAGGAGCGCCUGCUGCAUGGUGGGGGUUGGAAAGUUUCGGCGGUUGGGGAUGGACUCGCGGCUUAUCAGCUUGCUGGUGGGGUAGUGGCUUACCAAGGCUUUGACGGGUAGCCGGCCUGAGAGGGUGACCGGCAACAUUGGGACUCAGAUACGGCCCAGACUCCUACGGGAGGCAGCAGUGGGGAAGAGUGCACGAUGGGCGGAAGCCUGAUGCAGCAACGCCGCGUGCGGGAUGACGGCCUUCGGGUUGUCAACCGCUUUCGCCUGUGACGAAGCGUGAGUGACGGUAAUGGAUAAAGAAGCACCGGCUAACUACGUG
rnacentral:rRNA from 1 species